rnacentral:rRNA from 1 species
UACGGAGGGUGCAAGCGUUGCUCGGAAUCACUGGGCGUAAAGCGGACGCAGGCGGAACGUUAAGUUGGAUGUGAAAGCCCCGGGCUCAACCCGGGAACUGCAUUCAAAACUGGCGUUCUUGAGUUCAAGAGAGGAUGGUGGAAUUCCUGGUGUAGAGGUGAAAUUCGUUGAUAUCAGGAGGAACAUCGGCGGCGAAGGCGGCCAUCUGGCUUGAUACUGACGCUCAUGUCCGAAAGCGUGGGGAGCAAAC